rnacentral:rRNA from 1 species
GACGUAGGGCGCGAGCGUUGUCCGGAUUUAUUGGGCGUAAAGAGCUCGUAGGCGGCUUGUCGCGUCGUCCGUGAAAACCCACAGCUCAACUGUGGGCUUGCGGUCGAUACGGGCAGGCUAGAGUUCGGUAGGGGAGACUGGAAUUCCUGGUGUAGCGGUGAAAUGCGCAGAUAUCAGGAGGAACACCGGUGGCGAAGGCGGGUCUCUGGGCAAUAACUGACGCUGAGGCGCGAAAGCGUGGGGAGCAAACAGG